rnacentral:lncRNA from 1 species
GUUAACCCCAGUGACCAUGGGAAAAUGCUGCUGUCUGCUUCAGAGAGGCGAAGGGGAGUGGGCACAAGAUAACAAGAGGUGAAGAGGUCACAGUGGAAGCCCCUUUCAUCUUUUCAGGCUGUUUCCAACCCAGACAAAGGAGUCUGUCCAGGGGCGCAAGGCCCACGCGGCUUUAUUUUAUGGUCUGGGCCUGAAAGGGGUUUGGGAGGGCCGUGUCGUAUCUGGAUAUUGUUUUGGAGGCGAAUGCCUGGCUCCCGGGAAGUCCUCAGCUCCUGGGGGAAUGCUAAGUGGAAGGAAGGGCAAGCAGCCCCCGCUUCGGCGGAAGAGACCACCCAGCUACUCAAAGGCGAGUGUGAAGGGCUUGAAUGGAAUGAGCUGUCCUGCAGGAUUUAUCAUUCAGACUGUGAGACGAAGGGCGUGAGGCUGUUGAGCCGCUUCACAUCGGCGUAGCUCUAGCAUUUGCGGCAAAAGAGAAAAAGGAUUCAGGAUGCCAGAGACGCCUCCCGUGGCUGCUUUGGAGGAAGGGGAACAGAGCCCUGUGCCGCCCCCGCCUCCCCCAUCCGCUUUUCCUCAGCUUGCUUCGUUGAUUCCGUUUUAUUAGAAAAGUGGCAUAGCCACAUUAUCAAUAAUUGAAAGUCAACAACUCUCCAUUUCAUGCAAUCUGUGGCCUGAUUGCCUUUUGGGUGGAUUUCCCGUGGAUCUUUUUUCAAAUUAGAUAUAUAUAUAUAUAUCUUAACAUCCCUGUAGUGUACCUCCAAUUUUGCAUCGUGGUUUCCUCCCUGCCUACCCACCCCCGUAAUUCAAGGUGCUGGAUAUCUACUGUUUGCCCCUGCAGGUUCUCUCACCAACUGCCUUCCUCCUGCUCUGUGCUCCAGGAGGCUGCUGUGUGCCGUGUGCCCCUUUGCCCUCCCUGGGCUUCUGGUUGGGUUUGAGGGCUAUUUCAUCUCCGCCUCCCUCCUGUUCAGAUGGCCUCAGGCUAGCCUGAGUCCCUCCAUCAAAGGCCACAGCUCCUGUCUGGGGACCCUCUCCAUGUUGUUCUCUUUCCACGAUCCAGUAGGGCCCCGCUUACCCCUUCGGGCCUAGCCUGGAAAUGGAAACAGCUGCCCUCUGCUCUGAUGCUUUUCCAAACGCUGCCCACACCUUUGUCAAUAGCCCCUUUAUUAAACUCUCUUCAAAUUUCC